AUUGUUUUACUAUUACCCCUUCUCGCGGUAUCAUAUGGUCUUCACUUCAGUUCUCAAACUCAAACACACUAAAAGUCUCCGGCAUCAAUCCGAUCCACGCUUCCCCUUUCCGUCGUUUGUUUCUUCCAUCUAGCUUUCUUCUCCACUCUCCUCGCCGUCUUCUCCUUCUCUUGUUUCCCCCUCUUUGGCGUCACAACUGGACUUAGAACACCGAUCAGAAAGCAUCCUCCAUCUCACGUUUUCCGUUCCUAUCCGCCGGCGAAACUGGUGAAGUUUUUACCGUUGUGUCCAUGGAAACCGGUAAAGAAGAUACAGCCGUCUUCCUGGAUCGUGCUUCUCGAUCAACCAGAGGGAGAAGGAUGACGAAGUUGCUGGACGAGGAAGUUGAAGAGGACGAGAUGUUUUGGAAUCAAGAAGCUUUUAAAGAGGAGGAGAAUGAUGCCAAUUACGAAGAAGAGCCAGAGGCUGCUGAUGUGUUUGAUAGUGACUUCGAUGAAGAUGAACCUGAGCCAGAUGAGGAAGUAGAAGACGAAGCAGAUGAAAGGGUUCGCACAAAGAAGCGUCUGAUAUUUCCUGGAAAGCCUUCUUUGAAGAAAAAGAAGAAAAAGAAAGUUCAUUCAAAUUUAGAUGGCGAUUCCAAGAAUGAAAAUCUUACUCAAAAGACUUCCUCUACACAGCAUCAUGAUGCCCCUGAUGAUGCAGAAGGUGAAAGAAUUAUAAGGAAAUCUACAAGAACUUCAGUCAUUGUUAGGCAAGCUGAGCGAGAUGCGAUACGUGCUGCUCUGCAGGCAACAAUGAAGCCAAUAAAAAGGAAAAAAGAAGGUGAAGAGAAGAGGAUGACUCAAGAAGAAAUGCUUUUAGAAGCAGCACAAACAGAAAUUAUGAACUUGAGAAAUUUAGAGCGUGUUUUGGCAAGGGAGGAAGAAGUUAAGAAACGAGCAAUAAUCCACAAGGCUGUUUAUAGUGGUCCGCAGAUUAAAUAUGUGUCAAAAGAUGGUUCUUCAUAUCUAGAAUUUAGUAAAGGAUUGACAUUUCACUCAGAGCUCUCAACCACACCGCUUCCAUACCCAGAAAAGGCUAUGUGUGCUGUCACUGGAUUGCCGGCGAGGUACCGAGAUCCAAAGACUGGGCUAUGCUAUGCAACAAAGGAAGCCUUUAAAAUUAUUCGAGAACGUUUUCGAGAUGAACAUAAAAGUGCUCCCAAGAAAAUGGAUAUGGGGGUCUUGCUUGAUUCUCUGUCUGGUCACGGUUUAAUGCCCAGGCGGAAGAGGUCUCACGUAUCAAAUAGAAGUCAAACAUCACGCUUCCAGUACUUGGGGAAUUUCCGCAGAACACCACCUGAUGAUGAUGAAAGUUCAGAUUAGUUGAUAUGAUAUAAGAGAAACUUCAAGUGAAGAUUGCAUGAAGAUGUUUCUAACAUACUGUGGAUGAUAUUGAAUCAUGGGAAGCAGGGUGUGUUCCAAGAAACACUUUAUGGUGAUUUGUUCUAGACUUGGAGUUAUUCUGAGUGAGCUUGGUUUCAAGAUUGCAAGGAGUCAUGGCUACUGGCCUCGGGAGUAUUUACAGCUAGAGCGAGACUUAAAAUUGUGUGGUAGGUUUCCCAAUGUUUCAAAAUAUUCAAAUAUAUGUAGAUGUUCCAGGGAUAAUUUAACAUUAUUAAAGUAGGUAGAUAGGAGUGUAAGCUAUAUAUGCAGAUUAAAAUCCACUUUUGGCGAUGAAAUGCUUCAGCUAAAAAACUCCUUAGUUAAUUAAAUUAGAGCAUUGUUCUUACCCCCGAAAAAA